AUUAGCUUAGUGGUAGAGCAUUCGAUUCGUAAUCGAAAGGUCCGUAGUUCAAUCC
rnacentral:tRNA from 1 species